GAUAGGGCAUGCAAGCUGAAGAUUUAUACAAAGAGGACAAAGUGAUAAAAUAGCCAUCAAAAGGGGCUGAAGAACUCUGUAUUAACCACGGUACGAGAAAACGGACAGUAGGGGAGACCGGUGGACAAAAAUGGACAUUGGUACACAGAGAUUGUCUGGACAGAUACAAAACAGAUCCAAAUGGACUGAGCUGGAGGGGACAGGAAACAACUGGGACACACACACACUGGCAACAAAGCCGAUGCAGUCUCCCGCCAGGAGGUUUUGUGGUGGUUGUGGAGGCUGAAAGAGCUACAUGGAUACAUACCAGCCACUGCAGGAAGGUGCCUGCACCAGAACAGUAACAGAUCAACAAGCGUGCACAAUCACCCUUUGUCUCAGACUCAAAGGCUGUUAGACAGCAAACAUCAACACAAGGGAGCUAGUGGGAAAACUCCUGGUCUCACCACUGCUGAUUUAAGAGUGAGUAGCAUGUUUGUCUCUGGAAGGAGACAUCCAUGGGACCCAGUCAGACACCCAGACAUGUGUGGGCCUACGAGGAACAACACAGAUGUUUGCUGCCAUUGCAAUAGCAUUAACAGUUCCUCUGUUGCAGUUCUUAGAUCACAAGCAUGAUGCACAAAAGCCACCACAACAGAACACCACAGUGAACUACACACAGGCAUUGACAUCACAUAGCAGUGUUAGAGGCAAGAGAAGCACCCAAAGAGGCUGGGAUGCUUGGAUAAUUUUAAUAACUCCUCUUGUACGUUUGUGCCCAACAAUACAGCUCCAGAUGGUUCGGUGACCCCAGUGCUGGAAGGAAUGCGUUCGCUACGAGAAGAACUUGCAGAGAACUCUGAAGUGGACACUAAUAUGUUUGACUGGUCUGAUUCUGUAUUUGCUAAAUAAAAAGCCUUAGUGAUGCCCAUA